UUUACAUAUUAAUUUAAGUUGUUGAUUUUUAAUAUUGGUGACUACUGCGGCAAGGAAAAACGUACGAAGUCCCAUCCAAUAAACAGAGAAGAUAAUAUCGCGAUCCAUUGAGAAAAGAAGGCCACGAUAAAGAAGAAUGGGUCAGUAUUCAAAAGCUGCUGAAAAAAUAUGGAAAAAGAACGAGUUCUUGGCAUACAAUGCUGACACGAGAAAUAUUCUAUUAAUUACAAAAAAAGGAUGCUAAAUGACAGUUUACAAAU
rnacentral:lncRNA from 1 species